GUCGAGAAUCUUUCACAAUGGGGGCAACCCUGAUGGAGCGACGCCGCGUGGAGGAUAAGGUCUUCGGAUUGUAAACUCCUGUCAUGCGUGAACAAGGUUGCUUGGUUAAUACCUGGGCAAAUUGAUGGUAACGCAAGAGGAAGAGACGGCUAACUCUGUGCCAGCAGCCGCGGUAAUACAGAGGUCUCAAGCGUUGUUCGGAAUCACUGGGCGUAAAGGGUGCGUAGGUGGCGUGGUAAGUCAGAUGUGAAAGCCCGGGGCUCAACCUCGGAACUGCAUCCGAUACUGCCAUGCUAGAGUACUGGAGAGGUGACUAGAAUUCUCGGUGUAGCAGUGAAAUGCGUAGAUAUCGAGAGGAAUAGCAAAGGCGUAGGCAGGUCACUGGACAGUUACUGACACUGAGGCACGAAGGCCAGGAGAGCGAACGGGAUUAGAUACCCUAAGUCC
rnacentral:rRNA from 1 species